rnacentral:misc_RNA from 1 species
CGCGCCGCGCCCGUCGGCCGCCCGCGCGCGCCCGGCUACCAGUACGCGAUCCGCCCCUUCCGGAAGGACUUCUCGGGGAUACAGUUCCGGAGGCGGUGGAGCGACGACUGCCUGGACUCGUCGCACAUCCCGAACGAGGUGUACUUCGGCGACGUGCCGGUGCCGCUGUCGGUGCUGUACAACUACUACGACGCCAACGCGGAGCGCGAG